CAGAAAUUACUUUUCACCCAGGAGCAGAAGAUUUAGCUAAGAAUAGGCUUCAUAUUUCGGUCAGCCAGCAGCCAACAAAAAUCAGAGCAGAGCAUGAUCCCUUCAUCUCACAACUGUGCGUAUAAUAAGCUCGGAGUGCUGGUCUUCAGCUUUGCUAUGGAUGUACCUAGCCAUGGGCUCCAUUGAUCCUGAUCUUAGUCUGACCACCUGGCUUGAUCUCAGUGCUCCUAUGAAGGUGCUAUGGGCUGCAUCUUGCUCUGCAUCCUCACUGAGAAAGGUAAGAUGGGUCUUGGUUAGAGAAACCCAUCUCCUACCAAGUCU
rnacentral:lncRNA from 1 species